rnacentral:rRNA from 2 species
GAGUUUGAUCUUGGCUCAGAUUGAACGCUGGCGGCAUGCCUUACACAUGCAAGUCGAACGGCAGCACGGGAGCUUGCUCCUGGUGGCGAGUGGCGAACGGGUGAGUAAUGCAUCGGAACGUAUCCUGGAGUGGGGGAUAACGUAGCGAAAGUUACGCUAAUACCGCAUAUUCUGUGAGCAGGAAAGCGGGGGACCUUCGGGCCUCGCGCUCUUGGAGCGGCCGAUGUCGGAUUAGCUAGUUGGUGAGGUAAAGGCUCACCAAGGCGACGAUCCGUAGCAGGUCUGAGAGGAUGAUCUGCCACACUGGAACUGAGACACGGUCCAGACUCCUACGGGAGGCAGCAGUGGGGAAUUCUGGACAAUGGGGGCAACCCUGAUCCAGCCAUGCCGCGUGAGUGAAGAAGGCCU